rnacentral:lncRNA from 1 species
GGCUGGAUGGAGGUUCUUACAGGCCCUAUGGCUGGGUGGAGGGUCCUACAGGUCCUAUGGCUGGGUGGAGGGUCUUACAGGUCCUAUGGCUGGGUGGAGGGUCCUACAGGUCCUAUGGCUGGGUGGAGGGUCCUACAUGUCCUAUGGCUGGGUGGAGGUUCUUACAGGCCCUAUGGCUGGGUGGAGGGUUUUACAGGUCCUAUGGCUGGGUGGAGGGUUUUACAGGUCCUAUGGCUGGGUGGAGGUUCUUACAGGCCCUAUGGCUGGGUGGAGGUUCUUACAGGCCCUAUGGCUGGGUGGAGGGUUUUACAGGUCCUAUGGCUGGGUGGAGGGUCCUACAGGUCCUAUGGCUGGGUGGAGGGUCCUACAUGU